GGUUAAGCGACUAAGCGUACACGGUGGAUGCCCUGGCAGUCAGAGGCGAUGAAGGACGUGCUAAUCUGCGAUAAGCGUCGGUAAGGUGAUAUGAACCGUUAUAACCGGCGAUUUCCGAAUGGGGAAACCCAGUGUGUUUCGACACACUAUCAUUAACUGAAUCCAUAGGUUAAUGAGGCGAACCGGGGGAACUGAAACAUCUAAGUACCCCGAGGAAAAGAAAUCAACCGAGAUUCCCCCAGUAGCGGCGAGCGAACGGGGAGCAGCCCAGAGCCUGAAUCAGUGUGUGUGUUAGUGGAAGCGUCUGGAAAGGCGCGCGAUACAGGGUGACAGCCCCGUACACAAAAAUGCACAUGCUGUGAGCUCGAUGAGUAGGGCGGGACACGUGGUAUCCUGUCUGAAUAUGGGGGGACCAUCCUCCAAGGCUAAAUACUCCUGACUGACCGAUAGUGAACCAGUACCGUGAGGGAAAGGCGAAAAGAACCCCGGCGAGGGGAGUGAAAAAGAACCUGAAACCGUGUACGUACAAGCAGUGGGAGCACGCUUAGGCGUGUGACUGCGUACCUUUUGUAUAAUGGGUCAGCGACUUAUAUUCUGUAGCAAGGUUAACCGAAUAGGGGAGCCGAAGGGAAACCGAGUCUUAACUGGGCGUUAAGUUGCAGGGUAUAGACCCGAAACCCGGUGAUCUAGCCAUGGGCAGGUUGAAGGUUGGGUAACACUAACUGGAGGACCGAACCGACUAAUGUUGAAAAAUUAGCGGAUGACUUGUGGCUGGGGGUGAAAGGCCAAUCAAACCGGGAGAUAGCUGGUUCUCCCCGAAAGCUAUUUAGGUAGCGCCUCGUGAAUUCAUCUCCGGGGGUAGAGCACUGUUUCGGCAAGGGGGUCAUCCCGACUUACCAACCCGAUGCAAACUGCGAAUACCGGAGAAUGUUAUCACGGGAGACACACGGCGGGUGCUAACGUCCGUCGUGAAGAGGGAAACAACCCAGACCGCCAGCUAAGGUCCCAAAGUCAUGGUUAAGUGGGAAACGAUGUGGGAAGGCCCAGACAGCCAGGAUGUUGGCUUAGAAGCAGCCAUCAUUUAAAGAAAGCGUAAUAGCUCACUGGUCGAGUCGGCCUGCGCGGAAGAUGUAACGGGGCUAAACCAUGCACCGAAGCUGCGGCAGCGACGCUUAUGCGUUGUUGGGUAGGGGAGCGUUCUGUAAGCCUGCGAAGGUGUACUGUGAGGUAUGCUGGAGGUAUCAGAAGUGCGAAUGCUGACAUAAGUAACGAUAAAGCGGGUGAAAAGCCCGCUCGCCGGAAGACCAAGGGUUCCUGUCCAACGUUAAUCGGGGCAGGGUGAGUCGACCCCUAAGGCGAGGCCGAAAGGCGUAGUCGAUGGGAAACAGGUUAAUAUUCCUGUACUUGGUGUUACUGCGAAGGGGGGACGGAGAAGGCUAUGUUGGCCGGGCGACGGUUGUCCCGGUUUAAGCGUGUAGGCUGGUUUUCCAGGCAAAUCCGGAAAAUCAAGGCUGAGGCGUGAUGACGAGGCACUACGGUGCUGAAGCAACAAAUGCCCUGCUUCCAGGAAAAGCCUCUAAGCAUCAGGUAACAUCAAAUCGUACCCCAAACCGACACAGGUGGUCAGGUAGAGAAUACCAAGGCGCUUGAGAGAACUCGGGUGAAGGAACUAGGCAAAAUGGUGCCGUAACUUCGGGAGAAGGCACGCUGAUAUGUAGGUGAAGUCCCUCGCGGAUGGAGCUGAAAUCAGUCGAAGAUACCAGCUGGCUGCAACUGUUUAUUAAAAACACAGCACUGUGCAAACACGAAAGUGGACGUAUACGGUGUGACGCCUGCCCGGUGCCGGAAGGUUAAUUGAUGGGGUCAGCGCAAGCGAAGCUCUUGAUCGAAGCCCCGGUAAACGGCGGCCGUAACUAUAACGGUCCUAAGGUAGCGAAAUUCCUUGUCGGGUAAGUUCCGACCUGCACGAAUGGCGUAAUGAUGGCCAGGCUGUCUCCACCCGAGACUCAGUGAAAUUGAACUCGCUGUGAAGAUGCAGUGUACCCGCGGCAAGACGGAAAGACCCCGUGAACCUUUACUAUAGCUUGACACUGAACAUUGAGCCUUGAUGUGUAGGAUAGGUGGGAGGCUUUGAAGUGUGGACGCCAGUCUGCAUGGAGCCGACCUUGAAAUACCACCCUUUAAUGUUUGAUGUUCUAACGUUGACCCGUAAUCCGGGUUGCGGACAGUGUCUGGUGGGUAGUUUGACUGGGGCGGUCUCCUCCUAAAGAGUAACGGAGGAGCACGAAGGUUGGCUAAUCCUGGUCGGACAUCAGGAGGUUAGUGCAAUGGCAUAAGCCAGCUUGACUGCGAGCGUGACGGCGCGAGCAGGUGCGAAAGCAGGUCAUAGUGAUCCGGUGGUUCUGAAUGGAAGGGCCAUCGCUCAACGGAUAAAAGGUACUCCGGGGAUAACAGGCUGAUACCGCCCAAGAGUUCAUAUCGACGGCGGUGUUUGGCACCUCGAUGUCGGCUCAUCACAUCCUGGGGCUGAAGUAGGUCCCAAGGGUAUGGCUGUUCGCCAUUUAAAGUGGUACGCGAGCUGGGUUUAGAACGUCGUGAGACAGUUCGGUCCCUAUCUGCCGUGGGCGCUGGAGAACUGAGGGGGGCUGCUCCUAGUACGAGAGGACCGGAGUGGACGCAUCACUGGUGUUCGGGUUGUCAUGCCAAUGGCACUGCCCGGUAGCUAAAUGCGGAAGAGAUAAGUGCUGAAAGCAUCUAAGCACGAAACUUGCCCCGAGAUGAGUUCUCCCUGACUCCUUGAGAGUCCUGAAGGAACGUUGAAGACGACGACGUUGAUAGGCCGGGUGUGUAAGCGCAGCGAUGCGUUGAGCUAACCGGUACUAAUGAACCGUGAGGCUUAACCUU
rnacentral:rRNA from 1 species